GCCGGGUGCAGGGGCGUGUCCCUGUCAUCCCAGCAGCUCAGGAGGCUGAGGCAAGAGGAUUGCGAGUUCAAAGCCAGCCUCAGCAACUUAGUGAGGUUCUAAGAAACUCAGUGAGACCCUGUCUCUA
rnacentral:sRNA from 1 species